AUGGCCGCGGUGCUGUGCGCCCAGGAUGGCUGCGACCACCUGGACUGCCACGACGGUCCCUUCAUCGUGGCCUUCGCGGGCUCCAAUGAGUUAGAGAGGACCACGUUCGCCUCCUUCUACUCAUCCGAGGCUACCGAGUGGAGUGAAAUGAUCUCCAUUGAGAACCCGAAUGCCACCAGUGCCAUGGAGGAGACAGGGCACACCGCGGUUGUGGGAAACAAAGUCUAUUUCCCCCGCAAGUCGAGCAGAAGAAUAGUGCUGUAUGACGUGGGCGAGCAAGAACUUUCGGCGAUCAAUUUGCAGGACCAGCCAUGCGGUAAACUCAUGGGGGAGGAGGACGGUGCGCUGGUGUUUGCGAGCAUGGGGGAUUCUAAACUCUAUGUUAGGUUAAUGGAGGAUGGUCCCAAUGGAGUUGUGGCGAGGGGGCAACGCAGGGUUGUCGAGCUUCAAACAUCGCUCCCUCCUAGUGCCCUCUCGAGCACAUACUGGAUGGUACACAAAACCUUCGUAAGUGGUGGACCCUCGCUGGUUGGUUUCGCGAGUGGUGCCGGUGUCAUCUUCCUAAAUACAGAAGCUGGCCUGUUCACAGUUGAGGUUUGUACUGGCCAAACAAAGAAGGUACACAGAAAGAUGUUCGUGCAGACAGUCAUACCCUAUGUGAGCUUCUACAGUCGAGAACAUGUCAGGAUCGUAAUGCCACUGCAAUCAAAACGUGGUCGUGGCGACCAUUCAUAUGAAUUGGACACCGUUUUGCAUGAUCACGCUGGGGACAGGAUGCCACUGCAAUGA
rnacentral:rRNA from 1 species